rnacentral:rRNA from 1 species
UCCUACGGGGGGCAGCAGUGAGGAAUAUUGGUCAAUGGGCUUACGCCUGAACCAGCCAAGUCGCGUGAGGGAAGACUGCCCUAUGGGUUGUAAACCUCUUUUGUCAGGGAGCAACGCCGGCUACGUGUAGCCGGACUGAGAGUACCUGAAGAAAAAGCAUCGGCUAACUCCGUGCCAGCAGCCGCGGUAAUACGGAGGAUGCGAGCGUUAUCCGGAUUUAUUGGGUUUAAAGGGUGCGUAGGCGGUCCGGAAAGUCAGCGGUAAAAGCCCGGGGCUCAACCCCGGCGAGCCGUUGAAACUGUCGG